GAUGAACGCUAGCUACAGGCUUAACACAUGCAAGUCGAGGGGAAACGACAUCGAAAGCUUGCUUUUGAUGGGCGUCGACCGGCGCACGGGUGAGUAACGCGUAUCCAACCUGCCCACCACUUGGGGAUAACCUUGCGAAAGUAAGACUAAUACCCAAUGAUAUCCCACGAAGGCAUCCGAAUGGGAUUAAAGAUUUAUCGGUGAUGGAUGGGGAUGCGUCUGAUUAGCUUGUUGGCGGGUAACGGCCCACCAAGGCGACGAUCAGUAGGGGUUCUGAGAGGAAGGUCCCCCACAUUGGAACUGAGACACGGUCCAAACUCCUACGGGAGGCAGCAGUGAGGAAUAUUGGUCAAUGGGCGAGAGCCUGAACCAGCCAAGUAGCGUGCAGGACGACGGCCCUAUGGGUUGUAAACUGCUUUUAUAAGGGAAUAAAGUGAGUCUCGUGAGGCUUUUUGCAUGUACCUUAUGAAUAAGGACCGGCUAAUUCCGUGCCAGCAG
rnacentral:rRNA from 1 species